rnacentral:lncRNA from 1 species
AAGAAAUCACUUCUUCAAGUGACACUCCAACUAGGUCUUUGUUUUCCAUUUGUGAAGGAAUUCUCUCUCUUCCCUGAAGAUGGAGGCAGAAUUCAAGAGCUGGCGGUUGCCAAAGCUAUGUGAAAAGAAAUGGAUAUACAGAAGAACACUUUCAUUUGUUGUUAUGUCAAGUGAAGAUGUAACAUGAGCAACAUAAGGAUGUUUACUGAUGCGGGGGCCACCAGGCACAGAGUGCUGGAAUUUUGCUUAAAGGAAGCAAGCCAGAUGGGAAGAGAAAAGAAAUCCCAAGCUGUCAAGUGUCACAUCGCUACAGACCAGAUGUUCUACUUUUCCCUGGUAAUGGUUAACAUGGCGCUACCUCAUUAUACACCUCUCUUUGGAAAUUAUGCCAGUGCUACUUCAGAAUCAUCCAAAAGCCAUGCUGAAUCAAUGAGACAGCUGGCGCCCUCCCUGGGGAUGGAGUACUUUACCUUUUGGAUUCAGGCAGACACUGUGAACCGAGAUCCAGGAUGCUGUGAAUGAUUUUUCAU